ACAACUUGCAGAUUGACAGUCUGAUUACAGACAGGCACCAGUCCAUCAGUGCUUUCAUCCGAGAAGAUCUCAAGCAGAACAAUCCAAACUGUGCUGAGAUGAACCACAUGUGUGGCAUGUGGCAAAAGAACAUACUUGGUGGCUAUGCACCGUAAUGAAAAUGCUGGUCGUUUGCAAGCGAUUAGUAGGGAUGGGCGGCCACAGUACAGACUGGCAUUCCUAAACAUGAAGGCUGGACACCACACCAUAUGGAUGGCAAAAACCGAACCAACAAUUGAGUAUGCUCACAGGCUGAUGAAGAAUUUAUUGCUGGAGCACAGAAAUGGUCCGAGACGGCUCAAAAACUCCAUCUUUGAGCUCAGACAGGAGAGGUCUCCUGCUCUGGCGGCAGCAUAUCCUCACCCAGAUAAGGAUGAAGCUACAACAACAUGUGAUACGCUUCAGUUGAGUGGGGGUACUCCGAGGAGACAGCAAUUGUAUGAUGCAUGUUAAAUGCAUGUUUAAGAGAUUUUUCUAAAGUUGUGAGAUUAAUGGAAAUUUUGACUG